rnacentral:rRNA from 1 species
AGUAAAAGUCGUAACAAGGUUUCCGUAGGUGAACCUGCGGAAGGAUCAUUAUCGAGUUUUGAAAAGGGUUGUAGCUGGCCUUCGGCAACAAGUCGGAGGCAUGUGCACGCCUGGCUCAUCCACUCUCAAACCCCUGUGCACCUUUUGUAGGCUUCGGCAGAGAGGACUGACUUCGGUCGGUUCAGGAAGCCUUGUGCCUAUGUCACACAUACAAACGCUUCAGUUUAGAAUGUAACGAAUCGUGCGCCUCGGUGCAACGAAAUAAAUACAACUUUCAGCAACGGAUCUCUUGGCUCUCGCAUCGAUGAAGAACGCAGCGAAAUGCGAUAAGUAAUGUGAAUUGCAGAAUUCAGUGAAUCAUCGAAUCUUUGAACGCACCUUGCGCUCCUUGGUAUUCCGAGGAGCAUGCCUGUUUGAGUGUCACGAAAUUCUCAACCUUUGAAGCUUUUUUUUGAGCUCGCAAAGGCUUGGACUUGGAGGUCGUGUCGGCUCGUAACAAAGUCGACUCCUCUGAAAUGCAUUAGUGUGAAACCUUCGCAGGAUCGCCUUCGGUGUGAUAAUUGUCUACGCCGUCGGUCGUGAAAGUCGAAACAUACGUGUUCACGCUUCUAAUCGUCCGUCGAGGACAAACUUUUUUCUUGACCAUCUGACCUCAAAUCAGGUAGGACUACCCGCUGAACUUAAGCAUAUCAAUAAGCGGAGGAAAAGAAACUAACAAGGAUUCCCCUAGUAACUGCGAGUGAAGCGGGAAAAGCUCAAAUUUAAAAUCUGGUGGCCUUCGGUCAUCCGAGUUGUAGUCUGGAGAAGCGUCUUCCGCGC